rnacentral:rRNA from 1 species
GCCGAUUAGGUAGUUGCUGGGGUAACGUCCCAACAAGCCGAUAAUCGGUACGGGUUGUGAGAGCAAGAGCCCGGAGAUGGAUUCUGAGACACGAAUCCAGGUCCUACGGGGCGCAGCAGGCGCGAAAACUUUACACUGCGCGAAAGCGCGAUAAGGGGACCUCGAGUGCGUGCGCAAAGCGUACGCUUUUCAGAUGCCUAAAAAGCAUCUGGAAUAAGGGCCGGGCAAGACCGGUGCCAGCCGCCGCGGUAACACCGGCGGCUCAAGUGGUGGCCGCUAUUAUUGGGCUUAAAGGGUCCGUAGCCGGACCAGUUAGUCCCUUGGGAAAUCUUACGGCUUAACCGUAAGGCUGCCAAUGGAUACUGCUGGUCUUGGGACCGGGAGAGGCAAGAGGUACCUCAGGGGUAGGAGUGAAAUCCUGUAAUCCUUGAGGGACCGCCAGUGGCGAAGGCGUCUUGCUAGAACGGGUCCGACGGUGAGGGACGAAAGCUAGGGGCACGAACCGGAUUAGAUACCCGGGUAGUCCUAGCCGUAAACGAUGCGAGCUAGGUGUCACGUGGAUUGCGAAUCCAUGUGGUGCCGAAGGGAAACCGUGAAGCUCGCCGCCUGGGAAGUACGGCCGCAAGGCUGAAACUUAAAGGAAUUGGCGGGGGAGCAC